GAUUCAGGCAGAUUUCUGGCUGCAAGACCAAAGUUGAGUUCCCUGACCUCUUGCUGGUUUGAACUCUAUUGCAGGUCUCAGCUGCUCUUCACCUGAAGAUAGUCCAGGUUCUGAUGGAAAGCGUUGAUCCCUCCAACUUACCAGCUAAGGUGGUCUGGUGUGCCUGUACUGCAGAGAUUUUCCUCACUUUUCCAGUGAUCUCUUCAACUUCACAGUGAUGGAGAGAAGGGAUGGAGAGAAGAGAGAUUAUAAAUAAAGCAGAGUCAAAAAUGAUUGUCCUUGGAUAAUAAUUGACAGAAAAAGCAACAAAACAACUCCUCUAAAAUCCACCAACCAACAAAACAAAACAAAGAAACAACAACAAAAAGAUAGAAAAGAGGUGUAUUUUUAUGGAAAUGGAGGGUGCUAUUGUAAUUUUCUUUUUUUAAAAGAUUUUUUUCUUUUAUUUUGAGGACUUUUAUUUCAAAAUGACAACAAAACAAUUUUCUUAAAGGAGGAGGUUUAGGGCUGAGGAAAGCAGAAGGAAGGUAUAGGACACUGAGGACCAAAAUGAAGGGGUGAAAAUGGAGUAAGGUUCUGAAUAGGGUAGAAAAAGAUGGACAAGCCUAUUGGCAAAGGGCAAGGGUCUAGGCAAGAUAUGUUUGAAAGAUAAAAUAGAAGAAAAACCAAAAGCAAAUCGAUAGGAUAUAUACUGGAAACUUUUCAUGUAGAAUGAGAGGAAAAAGUGAGAAUGAGUGCCACAGACAGAACACAGG
rnacentral:lncRNA from 1 species